rnacentral:rRNA from 1 species
UACGGUGGGUGCGAGCGUUGUCCGGAAUCACUGGGCGUAAAGGGCGCGUAGGCGGCGCGGGUAGUCAACGGUGAAAGCUUGGGGCUCAACCCCGAGUCGGCCGUCGAUACUCCCGUGCUUGAGCACUGUAGAGGCAGGUGGAAUUCCGGGUGUAGCGGUGGAAUGCGUAGAGAUCCGGAAGAACACCGGUGGCGAAGGCGGUUCUCUGGGCAUUACCUGACGCUGAGGAGCGAAAGUGUGGGGAGCGAACAGG